GGUUGGAGUGGAGUUUCUAACCAGCCAGUACGUGCUUUGACUUUAAGAAACGUUCUGUGCGAAAUGUUAGUUGGGACUUCCGGGAAGAUGGCGGAAGAGUAAGAGACGGAGAUUACCUUCCUCCCCACAGAUACACCAGAAAUACAUGUACACGUGGAACAACUCCUACAGAACACCUACUGAACGCUGGCAGAAGACCUCAGACCUCCCAAAAGAAACACUUGUAAAUCCUGAUGGAGAUACAAAAGGACUUUGUGGCAUCUUGCUGCUGACUCUUGAAUAUGGUACAGCUUCUCAAUGUUGUAGUCACCUGGACGUUCAAGAUCACUUGAUACACAAGGCUUGUGCAUUACUAAGCAGUCCAGUCCUACUGCAUCCUUGGUCCUGCACUUAUUAGCGGUAAGGAUGCAUUAACUAGCUAUGCGGCAGUAGGGAAUUCACAUCAUCUCUCUGGGCCAUAGCUUUUCUCUGUAAAUUGAGUGAGUUUGGCUAAAUCAUACCCUGUUCCAGUGUUUUGGUCAAUUUUCUAUGUCUUUGUAGGUUUAUCGUUUGCAUGUCCCCCUGUUGGAAGAUGGAAUCUCUUACUACAGCCCGAGAUACUAGAAGAUCAGCUAGUUAACGGGCUACAGCCGAAGAGAACAUUCCCAUCGAGUUGAGAAAGAGACCGUGGGUGGUGAGUCUAGUAUAGAGCCCUAGGAAUCUAAUGCCUCUUUUCCCCUUUCCCAUUAGAUGGUUUUUUCCUGUUUUCAAUAUAGUAUUCUAUAGAUUUGUACUUCACUUUGGUAUCUAAAGAAAAAACACAUUAUCAUUCCCAUGGAUGAUUAGAAAACAAAACUUUGAAAAAUUAAAUUCAUGCCAGGAUCUUCCCAUCUCAGAAUAGCUGGGAAAAUAUUUAUAUUGGAUGUUGAGCUCAUGUCAAAUGGCCAAACAAUGAUUAUAGGGAGGUUGUUGUCCUGAUUAUACAUUAUCUCCUCGUUAUGAUUCAAUAGUUUGUUAAAUAAUUUUAAUAUUAUUUAAAAUAUAUUUUGUUGUCCUAUAAUAACUAUAAUUUUAAAUCGUGUUUGUGAAGUAACUUUAUUUACAAAUAACCUCUGUCUUAGUGAAAUAAUUUUGCUUAUUAGUAAAACUAAAUAUUGCUCCUGUUAAACAGAAUUAAUUGUAAGACUUAUGGGGUGUGUUAGUUUCCUAAGGCUGCUGUAACAAACUGCCACAAACCAGGUGACCUAGAACAACAGAAAUUUAUUCUCUCACGGCUCUGGAGGCCAGAAGUCCAAAAUCAAGUGUCAGCAGGGCCAAGCUGCCCCUGAAGACUCCAGACUCCAGAAGUUCAGAAUCAAAUUGCCAAUACAAUGGCAGAGUGUAGCCUUGUUGAUCAUUGGUUUCUGUCAAGAAUCCAGAGGGGCACUGAUGUCUGCCCAUAAGUGUGUAAAUUUUCAGCAUGUCUUUCCUGAAUGGGCAUGAAAAAGCUGUGAAACACCGGGAAACUGAGAUGCUCUUUCUAGCAAGACCCCACCUGGCAAGAACCACGUCUACAUCUGUAGCUAAGUAUCAGGGACUUCGUCUCAUUUUGUAGUGGUUGUGCAUGUGUCGUUUCUUCCAGCCUACCUUAAAUAAUUAAUAAACUUUCCAAUUCCUUUGUCCAUUCUGGGUUCUGUGCUGAGGCCGAGUGCCAUUUUAAUACAGAUAAUGUGGGCAUUUUUCUGAGGAUUGUGAAAUACUUGUUUUGAAGUUUUGGGAGAUAUUAGUUUCCAAACCCCUGUCUUAGUAAAGAUGUAGGAAGAAAGUAAGGACAGAACUGACAGAUCAAAGCAGGGCUGGUAGGCAUUAUAGGUUUGGUAAAAAUGGGAAGUUUGAGAAUAAGAGACAGAAGAACAAGUUUGUAAAACCAGCUUCUGAGGUUUAACAAAUGAAGCCACUUUAUUAAAAGGGAAUGUUGAAAUCACUCAGAUACUAGAAGCUGGGUAGAACACAAUUUAUUGAACAAAUGUAGUUGGAAUGUAUUGAAUUUGCAUUUUCUCUCUGUGACUUGUACAUUAAAAUAUUUGCCAUAUCCUUAUUUGUUAUGAAGGUAGAAUGAAUGUGCUUUUCUUUGAACAUGUGCUUCACUUGCCUUUCACUGAGUCAAAGUUAUUUUGCAAACAGGGUUCCAUUCAAACGUUAUUGCCUGAUCCGAUAACAGUAACAGGUAGGACUUCUUGAGGCUUUUCUAAUCAUGUAAUAAUUCACUAAAUUCUCACAACA